AACGAACGCUGGCGGCGUGCCUAACACACGCAAGUCGAGUGGGAAAGCCCGCAAGGGUGAGUACAGCGGCGCACGGGUGCGUAACACGUGGGUAAUCUGCCCUGAAGCCCGGAAUAACCUCCCGAAAGGGAAGCUAAUACCGGAUGAGACCACGGGAGCUUCGGCUCCCGCGGGAAAAGGUGGCCUCUGCAUGCAAGCUAUCACUUCAGGAUGAGCCCGCGGCCCAUCAGCUCGUUGGCGGGGUAAUGGCCCACCAAGGCUACGACGGGUAGCUAGUCUGAGAGGACGAUCAGCCACACUGGAACUGAGACACGGUCCAGACUCCUACGGGAGGCAGCAGUGGGGAAUCUUGCGCAAUGGGCGAAAGCCUGACGCAGCAACGCCGCGUGUGUGAGGAAGGUCUUCGGAUCGUAAAGCACUGUCGGGAGGGACGAAUAACGGCCAGGUGAACAAUCUGGUCGGAUGACGGUACCUCCAAAGGAAGCACCGGCUAACUCUGUGCCAGCCGCCGCCGUAAGAC
rnacentral:rRNA from 1 species